rnacentral:lncRNA from 1 species
AUAAAGAGCACAGGUGAGAGUGUAUCACCUUGCACGGUGCCUCGCUCUAUAGGAAUGGCGGAUGUGCUUCCGUGUUCGGUGCGGAUGCGGGUGGUCGCAUGUGCAUAUAGGUUGCGGACUGCGCGGAUCAGGUCCGUUGGCAGCCCAAGGUCAAACAUAAUUUGUAGUAAUCUGUCCUGGUCGAUUGUGUUAAACGCGGAGCUAUAGUCCACGUAUACCGCAUAGACAUCUUUUCCAAACAGUGCGGCAUCCUCAAGGGCAUGUACUAAAUUUAGGACCUGCCUUUCGGUGUUGCAGUAGGCACGGAAGCCUUCCUGCGCUUCACUGAAUAGCUGGAGGGGGCCAGCCAGUUCGCCAAUGCCCAAGGUAAGCAUGGACGUGUACAGCUUGUAGCAGGUGUUUGCGAGCGCAAUGGGCCGUUUGUUUUUUAUGUCCAGGGCGUCUCCAGGUUUGGGGAGUAGCACGGUCUCCGAUGCGGCCCAGGUGAGCGGCGGUGCGUGUGCCUGAGAGCAGUGCCCCGUAUCCAGCCCCGAGCACAAGGCGUUCCCCCGGCUGUCGGCGUUAGGCAUCAGCUGAGGCGCGUGCGCAGAGAAGGCCCCCAGUGCGUUCGUAUUAAUCCCCCUUUAAACACCGCACAUGGCAAGACAAGCAAGUAUCAAGUAUGCGGCCAACCAAGUUUAAGUGUUGCAUGGGGCACUGCUUCCAAACUCUUUGCGGCACUUCCUUCUUUGCCAGUUCAAUGUAUAUAUACUGUACCCUUCUAUGCAUAUCACACACUACUGAAGACACGUCAAAGCUUUCAGUAUGUAGAGACCCGCAAACAGUUCUCUGCCACUCGGCAGAGGACGCCCUCGCCCUGCUAUGUUUGCUGUUAAGGCCCAGUCUCCACUAGUGACGCUAUGUGGCGCACAGGUGCGCCUUGCAGUGGCCAUAACGCUGGGUUGUUGCAGGGGUGGUGACGUCGUUGACCGAGCGCAAUAUUUAUUGCCCAUCUUCAAUUCGUUCAUGUUCAGGCUCAACAAAAGCAUUUCAAAAGGCUACAGAGUGGCGCAGGUGAGGCGGGGGUACCAUCCGCGCGACUUGGUUGCUAGCUUCAGAGGGUGUCAGCAUGAGAGCAUGCGCAUGCUACGGUGUCUGUAUAAUGGCACCGUACAAGCCUGUCAUCAGUUCAUGCUCAGUUCUCAGUCCUGGUACCCUCCCGCCCUCCCUCAGGACUCCGGCCGCACGAAGGGCCACCCGUGCGGACCACCCCUGGGUGGGCUAGACGUGGCGCACCCGCACGUUAACCCCAACAGGCAAGUCUAUGUCCAGAUAGUAUUUCGCAAUUGCUGAAGUAAGCACUGCAUGAGUACCGUGUCUGCAGAUGAACAUGGGGGGAAAGGUACCUUGCGUCAUACCCUCUGAUAUGCCUAAUAUGGUUUUGUGGUUCCUGACCGAAUCGUCCUGAACACUAUGCAGGCUUACGAAGGGCAGCACGGGUGUGGCUAGCUGUGGACUGGAGCGCUGGCACCGGCAGCAUGCGGAGUCUGCGGCAGCACUGUGCAGCAGGUCGGACGUUGUGGUUGUCGUUGUGUGUUUGGCAAGGCUUGAGUAUGGGCACUCCUGUGCCGCUUAUGCCUUGGCGGGUGGCGUUUGGUUGUUACCCGGAAGUGGCUACAUACGCAUCUGUAUUCAUGUUACGGUAGGGCACGUUCGGUGAGCGAGGAGGUCGAUGGGUGACAGGGCAUGUGGAGCGGGCAGACUUCCUUUCCACGGUGUGCGAUGGCGGACUAAAAGCCUAAGGAGAGGCUGGUGGAUGGAGGCGGACUUCACGCCUUCAGAGAAACAGGCCGAAUCCUCGUUUAUACUGGACGCGCGGCACGUGCCGUUGCACAAACUGUAACACAAGAGAGCAGUUGAGGGAAUUGGCUUCGUGUGCCCCACGUGUGCGUGCAUGCAUGCGGGUGGGAAGCGUGCAGUGGGGGGCAGCUGCUUGCGUUAGGUAACGCACAUGCGUCCCGCAUGCGCCAUGGCAUGCGUAGUACUUCACGCAUCCGGCAUAUGUGCAUCACGCAUGCGUAUGGCAUGCGUUCGGGACGCAUGCGUACAUCCAGAAAGAGUCGCUGCGGCCGCUAGCCAACACCAGCAUGCGUUAGGUAACGCAUGCUCUGGUAGCACACGCAUGCGUAUGGGCGGGCACCGCAUGCGUACAGCACAUGCUUUUCAAGCGUUAAGCACAACCCGGGUUCACUCGGGGCGUGCCCAUACACGCCGCACCGUCCAAAGACCAAACCUUGCCUAAGGCUUAUACAUGACAUAUGUAUGUUAUGACUUGUUGUUUUAAGCCCUGGCGCGGCCUGCCCGCUCGCCGAGCUCGUGAAAUGCAGCGACAUGCCCGACAAUGUACACGAAGAGCUGCUUUUAGCCCUCGCAAAGCCUUGAAUUCCCAUUCUCAUAGCUGAAAGUAGACACGGCACCAAUCACGGCUUGAAAAAUGGCUCCUCGAGGGACCUCGGUCGCGAAAUUGCCGGUCGGCAGAGCCUCACAUUUUGCCCCGGGAUACGUUCCAAUGCAAUAUUGGGUAUCUAAAUAACAUAUUGAGUGAGUUACUGCUCUCUCGAGCACGAUCGGACCGACACGCGCCCAUCGGGCACAUGCCUGGCGGGCCAAAACCCGCCCAUUUCGACCUCAGGCGAGCGUGGACCGCCCUCCCACUUGACCAGCAAGUCAUUACUACAUGCACAGAGGGGCUGAGAGCGUGGGGGACUCAGGGGAGACCAGUUUGGCCACGGGGACCCCCCUGCCCACCCCCAUGACCCCCCGCACGGGAAGGGCCGUACGGCAGUGGUAGUACUGUCGGACGGUGAAUCUGACACGAAUUGUGGGGGGUAGGUAAGGUUGGUUGGCUUGCCCCUUCCCCCGAAGGGGGAGGGGCAAUAGCCAUUGCGGUCGCAUCGAGUCCCAGGGCGGGCCCCCUCGGUUAUUCCAGUUUUGACUUGAGUUAUAACCUGGAAACCCGAGCGCAGCGAAAUUUAUCAUGCAAAUAACGCGCCUUUCUAUGUAUGUAUUGCAAAGCGUAACAUUAUGAAAACGCAAGCCCUACGCCAGAGCGGGGUAAACGCACAAGCGCAGCGUUUGCAUUAGAGCUCCAGCGCAACAUACAAUAUAUCACAAAUUGUAUCGAUAAUCAAGGCUCCCGGCACGGAAGGACGCAAGACGGAGGAAUCGACGCGUUGGAGGAUCUUGGAAAUUGCGCGCGAAAGCGCGAGGCACAAAAGGUUUGCGCUAUCUGUUGUAGUUUCCCCGUAAUGACGGAUGCCGCGUUCUGUAUUCUGUUCGCACAUCACCCGGCACAUCGGCGUUACUCUCGCCCGCUUCUCGCUGGCUUCCACGCCCUGAGUCCGUGCCCCCGCUGAGUCCGAGCCCCCAUCCCCGCUCACUUACCCACCCCCAGCCCGCGGCGCCCUGAGCUACUGAAGGCAAUAUCAUGACCGGUAGUAUGGCUGCUCGCAGCCCCCCGCAGACCUAUUUGAUACUUCCACCAUCCGUCAGUCCAUCCCACCCCACCCCAUCCCCACACCGCAUUCCAGGGCGCACGGCAUGGAGCGCCUUGAGGGGGGAGGGGCAAGCCGGGGUACUGCGCAGCGGUAGGGUUUCCACGUCGGACUGUACUACCACGUCUAAACACGGGUCCAAAUGUUGUGCAGUUUUGGGACGGUGCCCCAAACUGAAGUGAACCCGGGUUGGUUAAGCAUGCGUUUGGGCCAUGCGGCACGCAUGCUAACGCAUGCUCUAACGCAUGGACCCGUCGUUAUAGUGCUUGGCUGCUGGUCCGCAGGCCGGCGCUGACGGGGGAACAGUCGUGCUCUCGCGCGCAACAGGGGUCAUACUGUAUAGCAGUUGCACGGCACGUUGGCUGCUGGUCCGCAGGCCGGCGCUGGCGGGGGAACAGUCGUGCUCUCGCGCGCAACAGGGGUCAUACCGUAUAGCAGUUGCACGGCACGUUGGCCAACACCAGCCACGUGACACCAGCAUGCGUUAGGUAACGCAUGCUCUGGUAGCGCACGCAUGCGUAUGGGCGGGC